rnacentral:rRNA from 1 species
GAUGAACGCUGGCGGCGUGCUUAACACGUGCGAGUCGAACGAAGCACUUUAUUUGAUUUCCUUCGGGACUGAUUAUUUUGUGACUGAGUGGCGGACGGGUGAGUAACGCGUGGGUAACCUGCCUUGUACAGGGGGAUAACAGUUGGAAACGGCUGCUAAUACCGCAUAAGCGCACAGCAUCGCAUGAUGCAGUGUGAAAAACUCCGGUGGUAUAAGAUGGACCCGCGUUGGAUUAGCUAGUUGGUGAGGUAACGGCCCACCAAGGCGACGAUCCAUAGCCGACCUGAGAGGGUGACCGGCCACAUUGGGACUGAGACACGGCCCAAACUCCUACGGGAGGCAGCAGUGGGGAAUAUUGCACAAUGGGCGAAAGCCUGAUGCAGCGACGCCGCGUGAGCGAAGAAGUAUCUCGGUAUGUAAAGCUCUAUCAGCAGGGAAGAUAAUGACGGUACCUGACUAAGAAGCACCGGCUAAAUACGUG